CCUUCGCGACGCCGACGCCCGCGUGAGACCCGACCGACGGUACGGCCGCGUGCUCAAGACGGGUUCGACGGUCGUUCGUGUCGAGGGACAAAUGCGUUGCUCGGGCCGACGGAGCCAAAAGACCCCACGCCCGCGCGUAACGUUCCGCAUCCGAGAGCACGGGCAGUGCGCCCCGUGGGCCUGGGCAGCCACGCAACUGGGCGAGGCGUGCCGGGAACACGAGGCUUGCCUGACGUCCACCCCACAACCCGCGAGGGCGUUGGGCGGAAAGGGACCAACGAAACCGUCGGAUUCCUUUCGAUAGGUAAGCAACACAGGAUACCGAA
rnacentral:misc_RNA from 1 species